CCCUCCUCCCCCGCGGGGUUGCACACUGCGGAGGAGGCCGCGCGUGCGCGCUCGCUGAGCUCCCGCGGCGGGGCGUCCCCGAGGCGGGCGCUGACACCGCAGUGCACCGGACGCCGCAAGCUCUUUUCGCGAGGAGGUGUGAUUGCCUAUAUCAGUUCUUCCAGCUCAGCCUCAAGCCCUGCCUCUUGUCACAGUGAGGGUUCUGAGAAUAGUUUCCAGUCCUCCUCCUCUUCUGUUCCAUCUUCUCCAAAUAGCUCUAAUUCUGAUACCAAUGGUAAUCCCAAGAAUGGUGAUCUCUCCAAUAUUGAAGGCAUCUUGAAGAAUGAUCGAAUAGAUUGUUCUAUGAAAACAAGCAAAUCGAGUGCACCUGGGAUGACAAAAAGUCAUAGUGGUGUGACAAAAUUUAGUGGCAUGGUUCUACUGUGUAAAGUCUGUGGGGAUGUGGCGUCAGGAUUCCACUAUGGAGUUCAUGCUUGCGAAGGCUGUAAGGGUUUCUUUCGGAGAAGUAUUCAACAAAACAUCCAGUACAAGAAGUGCCUGAAGAAUGAAAACUGUUCUAUAAUGAGAAUGAAUAGGAACAGAUGUCAGCAAUGUCGCUUCAAAAAGUGUCUAUCUGUUGGAAUGUCAAGAGAUGCUGUUCGGUUUGGUCGUAUUCCUAAGCGUGAAAAACAGAGGAUGCUAAUUGAAAUGCAAAGUGCGAUGAAGACCAUGAUGAACAGCCAGUUCAGUGGUCACUUGCAAAAUGACACAUUAGUAGAACAUCAUGAACAGACAGCCUUGCCAGCCCAGGAACAGCUGCAACCCAAGCCCCAACUGGAGCAAGAAAACAUCAAAAGCUCUUCUCCUCCCUCUUCUGAUUUUGCAAAGGAAGAAGUGAUUGGCAUGGUGACCAGAGCUCACAAGGAUACCUUUAUGUAUAAUCAAGAGCAGCGAGAAAACUCAGCUGAGAGCAUGCAGCCCCAGAGAGGAGAACGGAUUCCCAAGAACAUGGAGCAAUAUAAUUUAAAUCAUGAUCAUUGCGGCAAUGGGCUUAGCAGCCAUUUUCCCUGUAGUGAGAGCCAGCAGCAUCUCAAUGGACAGUUCAAAGGGAGGAACAUAAUGCAUUACCCAAAUGGGCAUGCCAUUUGUAUUGCAAAUGGACAUUGUAUGAACUUCUCCAAUGCUUAUACUCAAAGAGUAUGUGAUAGAGUUCCGAUAGAUGGAUUUUCUCAGAAUGAGAACAAGAAUAGUUACAUGUGCAACACUGGAGGAAGAAUGCAUCUGGUUUGUCCAAUGAGUAAGUCUCCAUAUGUGGAUCCACAUAAAUCAGGACAUGAAAUCUGGGAAGAAUUUUCGAUGAGCUUCACUCCAGCAGUGAAAGAAGUGGUGGAAUUUGCAAAGCGUAUUCCUGGGUUCAGAGAUCUCUCUCAGCAUGACCAGGUCAACCUUUUAAAGGCUGGGACUUUUGAGGUUUUAAUGGUACGGUUUGCAUCAUUAUUUGAUGCAAAGGAACGUACUGUCACCUUUUUAAGUGGAAAGAAAUAUAGUGUGGAUGAUUUACAUUCAAUGGGAGCAGGGGAUCUGCUAAACUCUAUGUUUGAAUUUAGUGAGAAGCUAAAUGCCCUCCAACUUAGUGAUGAAGAGAUGAGUUUGUUUACAGCUGUUGUCCUGGUAUCUGCAGAUCGAUCUGGAAUAGAAAACGUCAACUCUGUGGAGGCUUUGCAGGAAACUCUCAUUCGUGCACUAAGGACCUUAAUAAUGAAAAACCAUCCAAAUGAGGCCUCUAUUUUUACAAAACUGCUUCUAAAGUUGCCAGAUCUUCGAUCUUUAAACAACAUGCACUCUGAGGAGCUCUUGGCCUUUAAAGUUCACCCUUAAGGCCUUUGUUUAUUUAAACAUGAACUGAUGGUAACUGUAUAUUUUGUGCUAAAAUGCUUAUUUAUAUGUGUAUACCGUAUGUGGAGAUAGAAAAGACCUUUAAGACAAUAAAAGAUUGUAGGCU
rnacentral:sRNA from 1 species